UGAAGAGCUGUUACCCUCAUUGUGGAGGUCCGCAGCUUUACUCCUGAGCCAGCGAGACCACAAACCCCACCAGAAGGAAGAAGCUCCAAAGGAAUGGGCCUGGAAGACCUGGCUAAAACCUUUGAAUCAUUGCCUGCCAACAUUUGGCCGUGACCCACUUUGGAAGGAAAGCCUCAGGAACUUGUUGCAAUAGGGACUGCCACGCCAUGUUGCACUAUUGGUGGAAGAGAGGUCCACACGGUGCCUACGAUGAGCGAUUUGUUCAUAUCUAUCCAGAUUGCACGUGAGUACAGCCACUCAUCCUCAAAUGCCACCCUCAGGAGUUUAUGCUGCACACAGACUGGCACAUGUUCAGAAAGACAUAGCACAGGGCUACCUGCUACAACAUUGUUGGUGAUAGCAACAUAUUGGAAGCAACCAGAAUUUUUGUUAAUAGAAGAUUGGCUACAUAAAUUAUGCUAAUCUAUACAACUGGAGUACUAUGAUGCCAUAAAAAAGAAUGAACGAGGUCUUUAUGUUUGGAAAGAUGUCUAAGAUAUAAUGGUGAGUGAAAAGUGUAAGAUGCAGAACACUGUGUUUCACAGGCUGUCAU